rnacentral:lncRNA from 1 species
GGAGUUUUAUUAUGUAACAAUAGAACACUAAUGCAAUGCCUCUGACAACCUAACCUAACUAUAUGGAAAAUGGAAAAUAGUAUAGGGCCACCAUUUAAUAAUGUGUCAUGGGUUGAUAUUAUUUAUUUCCUUCAUUUUAACUUAAGAAGGCUAAAUCAAUCUCUCUCUCUCUCUCUCUCUCUCUCUCUCUCUCUCUCUCACACACACACACACACACUUUCCUCUAUUUAUAGAUAUUGGAAUUAAAAUUUCUUGAAUACUAUCAAAUAUAACUUUCUUCACUUUAUAUAAGUAAAACAAUGUAUAUCAGAUUGGCUAAUAAGUUUGUUCCAAGAUUACACAUCUAGUUAGUGGUUAACACUUGAGUCAGGGUCUUGUUUAAAAUUUCUUUUUUAAUUAAGACAAAUAAAAAAAUUAAAAAGCAAUUUCUAGAUUUUUACCAAAAGCUAAGAAAUUGAUGGGUAUGUAGACAGAGAUGAUCAUCAUUGAUGCUGUGAUAUGCUACAUGGGCCCUGUUCAUAAAAGGCUUCUUCCUGCAGCAGCUGGAAGGCCUCCAGCUGUUACUCUACUCCAAGGAAUGCUUCUCUGGGUUGGAGGGAGCCACCUUGCCCAACAUCAUGCCCUUUCUUCUUGCAGCCCACUUCUAACGACUGCUGAAGGAAGGGAUAUAGAGAAUGGCUUCCUCCCACAACUCAAGCCAGUUCUGAACAGCCCCAUGUUUCAGAACUCCCCAUGGGCUCAACAAUGUUUUUCACUGAGACUGCACAAAGCUUAACUGCUCUCUGUUCAGUUUUACUUCCUCCUUUUCCAAGUGUUGAUACUGCAGGAGAAUAAAAUAUCCCACCCCAAAUAUAUAUUUUCGGCAUAUUUCAAGUUGAUUAUUCAGAGGAACUGUAGACCUCUGCAGACACAAGAAAUUAGUCUGAAAAGCUGUCCUUGGGAAAGAAGAAACUUUCAUCUGUCAAAAUUAGUGAUGUAAAAAGCACAUGUAUGCAGUUUUUUCUAGUGGAUACCCCACAUUCUGCCUAGGAAAAGUCUUUCAUAGGUAGAAAAAAUUGAGGACCUGACAUUUGGCCCAGAUAGAGAUGACCAUAAUGACUGUCACCUGGAAGACCUCAUCUGCAAAAGAAGACAAUCUUUCUUGCUCUGCUAUCCCCUUCCAUAGCCUAAAUUACCUCUUUUCCCCUGAGGAAGCCCAAGCCCCUGUCCCUUUAUUUAGCACCAUGUAAAUUUUAGCUAUCU